UUUCAAGGACUACGCCAUGCACGUGUGAGAGCAAGUGGCGCGCCUCUGCCUAACCUGUCUGCGAAUGGCUCAUUAGACCAGUGACAAUCUCAGCAGGGAGUGUGCGUGUCCUUCUUUGUGAGGGACGGAAGUCUGGCCCUUCUAGGCUCUGGAGUGCAGGGUUCUGUCUCUGCUACCCAGGCCCGGGGGUUGGAUAUUCCUGGGACUACUCGGAACACCCUCUUUCUGAAACAGUUGGCUAAUACGUGUGGACGCAGCUCGGGAACUCCCACCCAUUUCUUCGGAGAUGCGAUGGGAAGCACUGGGUUGACACAAAGAGAGAUCGUGCCGCCCCGAGGGGGCCCUUCUCUCAAGGUGGAACCAAGCCUUCUGUGGAGGAUCCUGAGGGACAAGUUCGAGAACCCGUCUCCACCUCGGCUCUUCUCUCCGUUCGCGGGGAGGAUCAGCCCGGGGGCGGGUGAGCCCACCUCACAUGAACGGAUACCGCUGCGUGUGUUGCGCUAGUGGGGUCACUCUGCGAACACCCCACUACCCUGCAUGAGUUUCUGCCCUAUCAGCCGUGCAUUGCGGUCCCGAGGACCACGAUGGCGAUUACGGGUAACGCGGAAUGAGGUUUCGAUUCCGGAGAGGGAGCCUGAAAUACGGCUACUACGACCAAGGUUGGCAGCAGGCGCGCAAAUUGCUCAAUAUCGAUGUGCACUGGUGAAGCAGCGACGAGGAGUGGUACCCUUAUCGGUCCUACGACCGGUAUUGGUGGAAUGAAUGACGACCCAAGAAAUGCAGUGAGCAUCCACUUGUGGGCCAGUCUGGUGCCAGCAGCCGCGGUAAUUCCAGCACAAGUAGCAUACUUUGACGUUGUUGCCGUUAAAAARCUCGUAGUUGGUUGGCAUCCGAGGGACCUCAGUACGGCCUACCGGUCACUGACCGGAUGGCUCGAACGGGCCUCCUUGACGUGCCCGCUGGACCUCUGGAGACAUCCCUACCGAGUUGUGCCCUCGGGCCGAUUCGACCGUGGGGCUUGUCUCUCAGGGGUUCGGUAUUUCAGUGGGAGCGAUUUUCCGAAGAAGAGAGGUGGUUCUGGUCUUCACCAUGGGACCUGCACUUGUGCGAGUCUCUAGGUGUUUCGGGCCGCCACCUCUCGCCGUGCUCCGCCCUACCGCGGGUACUGUUGUUGGCCUCCAUCCGUAAACCAGCAGAGUGGCCUGAGGUGUCCAUCAUAAGGUUGGAGCUCAUGACAGUGGCUUCAGUCCAUAGACAUGAUGCUCUAAGCCCGAAGGAUGCCAAAGGCAAAGGAGAUGUCCACUGGCAUUGUACCAUGAGCAAAGCUAAGCGCUCCAAGCAUGUUGUCCUUCCUGCCGAUCGGAUGUUCAAGCGUGGCAUAACAAGGGACCGGUCCACUGGACCUUUUUGUUCUGGCACUUUUUGCCGGCCCGCUUGUGGACGAACUUCGCUUCCUCUGGACUCUCGGCCUUGGCCCUCGCGGUGGUUUGUCGUUCAGGGGUUGGCAUAGCGGGGAGGUCUGAAAUGCCUCCUGUCUAGCAGCCCUCCCCCCGCUUACCUUCGUGGGUGGCCUCGAGAGGUACAGGGGAACGAGGUGUUGACGGAGGUCGUUUCGGUGUGGAGGGUACUGCAGGGCGAGCGGUGAAASSCUUUGACCCCUGUYARGACCACCAAAGGCGAAAGSACUCCACAGGUCUCGACCAGCCUAUCAAGAGCGAAUGUGCGGUGAUCGAAGAGGAUCAGAUACCCUCGUAGUCCGCGCCGUAAACUGUGCCUACUGUGGAUGCCAGUUGUGUUCCAUCGGAAUGUCAGCUGGUGUCCUUCCCCCUCCUCGAGAAAUCCAAGUGUAUGGGUUCAGGGGGGAGUACGGUUGCAAGACUGAAACUUAAAGGAAUUGACGGAAUGGCACSACAAGGCGUGGAGUGUGCGGCUUAAUUUGACUCAACACGGGGAACGUUACCUGGAUAGCACGUGGGGAGGAUAUGACAGGCUGAAGCACUCUCUCGAUGACUCGGAAAGUGGUGCAUGGUCGUUCCUGGUUGGUGAUGUGGAUUGUCUGGUUGAUUCCGAUAACGAGCGAGGUCUUCACCUUCCAGUAGCCGGSSUCUCGCUCGUUGUAGGGCCCUGAGGUCCCUCAGCUCGCAAGGUGGCAACACCUUGUGUGGUUGGGGAGGCCCGGCCUGAGAGUGGCGCACUGGUUGCUUCUCAGUGGGUUCAGACACUUCGUCUUCGACUAAGUGUCUACAACCGGAAGCCGACAGCAGGUCUGUGAUGCCCUUAGAUGCCCAGGGCCGCACGCGCACGACAAUGCUGCCGUGAGCGUGCUGUAUUCCCCUGUGGCAUGCGUUGAUUCCAUAGGGGGGAGUUUUCUCUCCCGGACUGGUUUCUUCGCCUCCCGCAGCUAUCCAGGAGUCCGUUGUUCGAAGAUGGACUGGGAAAUCCCCGAAGCCGCUCAGAGACGUGAUUGGGGCUCGGUGCUUGCUAUUGUUCUCCUUCAACGAGGAAUGCCCAGUAAGUGCAGGUCAACAGCCUGCGCUGACUGCGUCCCUGCCAUUUGUACACACCGCCCGUCGUUGCUACCGGUGGCGUUGAGAUAGAGGCCCGAGGAAGCUAGUAGCGUCGGAGCUCCGGCUCCGAUGCGAACGAAGAAUUCGGCCAAUAUCUCAUUGCUGGAGGAAGCAAAAGUCGUAACVCGGUAGCUGUAGGUGA
rnacentral:rRNA from 1 species